AGGGUUUGAUUAUGGCUCAGGAUGAACGCUAGCUACAGGCUUAACACAUGCAAGUCGAGGGGAAACGACAUCGAAAGCUUGCUUUUGAUGGGUGUCGACCGGCGCACGGGUGAGUAACGCGUAUCCAACCUACCCACCACUUGGGGAUAACCUUGCGAAAGUAAGACUAAUACCCAAUGAUAUCUCUAGAAGACAUCUGAAAGAGAUUAAAGAUUUAUCGGUGAUGGAUGGGGAUGCGUCUGAUUAGCUUGUUGGCGGGGUAACGGCCCACCAAGGCAACGAUCAGUAGGGGUUCUGAGAGGAAGGUCCCCCACAUUGGAACUGAGACACGGUCCAA
rnacentral:rRNA from 1 species